rnacentral:rRNA from 1 species
UAAAGGGCGUGUAGGCGGUCUUUCAAGUCCGAUGCUAAAGACUGGGGCUCAACCCCAGGGGUGCGUUGGAUACUGUGAGGCUAGACGGUCGGAGGGGGUAGCGGAAUUUCCGGAGUAGCGGUGAAAUGCGCAGAUACCGGAAGGAACGCCAAUAGCGAAGGCAGCUACCUGGACGACUUGUGACGCUGAGGCGCGAAAGCGUGGGGAGCAAACCGGAUUAGAUACCCGGGUAGUCCACGCCCUAAACCAUGAGUGCUGGGUGUCCGGCUUCUGCUGGGUGCCGUAGCUAACGCGCUAAGCACUCCGCCUGGGAAGUACGCACGCAAGUGUGAAACUCAAAGGAAUUGACGGGGGCCCGCACAAGCGGUGGAGCAUGUGGUUUAAUUCGAAGCGACGCGAAGAACCUUACCAGGCCUUGACAUGCCCGGAACCCCUCUGAAAGGAGGGGGUGCCCGCAAGGGAGCCGGGACACAGGUGCUGCAUGGCCGUCGUCAGCUCGUGUCGUGAGAUGUUGGGUUAAGUCCCGCAACGAGCGCAACCCCUAUCCCUAGUUGCCAGCAGUUCGGCUGGGCACUCUAUGGAGACUGCCUGCGAAAGCAGGAGGAAGGCGGGGAUGACGUCUGGUCCGCAUGGCCCUUACGGCCUGGGCGACACACGUGCUACAAUGCCAAGGACAGAGCGCUGCUACCUCGCGAGAGGACGCCAAUCGCAAAAACCUUGGCUCAGUUCGGAUUGGAGUCUGCAACUCGACUCCAUGAAGCCGGAAUCGCUAGUAAUCGCGAAUCAGCCAUGUCGCG